rnacentral:lncRNA from 1 species
AGAGAUUGACAGUGACCGCGAGCUUGAGUCGUGGAUAAAAUCGUGCGUACCAGGGAACUGGAAGGCCUCAAAGAUCAUCACCGUCACUCAUCAUGAAGAGUAGUAUUUCUGUUUUUCAAUUCUGUUUGCAUGAAAGCCAUACGUUUUGCCCGAAACGUAAUGGUCCAUUGUAAGGGCCACCUCAUGUGUUUCAUUUUGCAAUAUUUUGCAUCAUUAAUAAAUGGAUGUUUUUGUGAUUA